CUCGUAGGCGGUUUGUCGCGUCGGGAGUGAAAUCAUCUGGCUUAACUGGGUGCUUGCUUUCGAUACGGGCAGACUAGAGGUAUGCAGGGGAGAACGGAAUUCCUGGUGUAGCGGUGAAAUGCGCAGAUAUCAGGAGGAACACCGGUGGCGAAGGCGGUUCUCUGGGCAUGAUCUGACGCUGAGGAGCGAAAGUGUGGGGAGCGAACA
rnacentral:rRNA from 1 species